rnacentral:rRNA from 1 species
AGAGUUUGAUCAUGGCUCAGGAUGAACGCUAGCGGCAGGCCUAACACAUGCAAGUCGAGGGGUAUGAGGUGCUUGCACCUCAGAGACCGGCGCACGGGUGCGUAACGCGUAUGCAAUCUACCUUGUACAGGGGGAUAGCCCAGAGAAAUUUGGAUUAAUACCCCAUAGUAUUAAUGAUUGGCAUCAAUUAUUAAUUAAAGAUUUAUCGGUACGAGAUGAGCAUGCGUCCUAUUAGUUAGUUGGUGAGGUAACGGCUCACCAAGGCUACGAUAGGUAGGGGUCCUGAGAGGGAGAUCCCCCACACUGGUACUGAGACACGGACCAGACUCCUACGGGAGGCAGCAGUGAGGAAUAUUGGACAAUGGGCGAGAGCCUGAUCCAGCCUUGCCGCGUGCAGGAAGACGGCCCUAUGGGUUGUAAACUGCUUUUAUACGGGAAGAAUAAGCCCCAUGCGUGGGGUGAUGACGGUACCGUAAGAAUAAGGAUCGGCUAACUCCGUGCCAGCAGCCGCGGUAAUAC